rnacentral:rRNA from 1 species
CUUGCUUUGGGUGGAUGAGUGGCGAACGGGUGAGUAACACGUGAGUAACCUGCCCCUGAUUUCGGGAUAAGCCUGGGAAACUGGGUCUAAUACCGGAUAUGACCAUCGGACGCAUGUUGGGUGGUGGAAAGUUUUUCGAUCGGGGAUGGGCUCGCGGCCUAUCAGCUUGUUGGUGGGGUAAUGGCCUACCAAGGCGACGACGGGUAGCCGGCCUGAGAGGGCGACCGGCCACACUGGGACUGAGACACGGCCCAGACUCCUACGGGAGGCAGCAGUGGGGAAUAUUGCACAAUGGGGGAAACCCUGAUGCAGCGACGCAGCGUGCGGGAUGACGCCUUCGGGUUGUAAACCGCUUUCAGCAGGGAAGAAGCCGUAAGGUGACGGUACCUGCAGAAGAAGUACCGCUAACUACGUGCCAGCAGCCGCGGUAAUACGUAGGGUACGAGCGUUGUCCGGAAUUAUUGGGCGUAAAAGCUCGUAGGUGGUUGGUCACGUCUGCUGUGGAAACGCAACGCUUAACGUUGCGCGUGCAGUGGGUACGGCUGACUAGAGUGCAGUAGGGGAGUCUGGAAUUCCUGGUGUAGCGGUGAAAUGCGCAGAUAUC